UACGUAGGGUGCGAGCGUUAAUCGGAAUUACUGGGCGUAAAGCGUGCGCAGGCGGUUUUGUAAGGCAGAUGUGAAAGCCCCGGGCUCAACCUGGGAAUGGCAUUUGGGACUGCAAGGCUUGAGUGCGGCAGAGGAGACUGGAAUUCCUGGUGUAGCAGUGAAAUGCGUAGAUAUCAGGAGGAAUACCGAUGGCGAAGGCAGGUCUCUGGGCUGACACUGACGCUCAUGCACGAAAGCGUGGGGAGCAAACAGG
rnacentral:rRNA from 1 species